GCGAACGCUGGCGGCAUGCCUAACACAUGCAAGUCGCACGGGGGGGCUUCGGCCUCCCAGUGGCGGACGGGUGAGGAACGCGUAGGGACCUGUCGAGGGGUGGGGGAUAACCGCGGGAAACUGCGGCUAAUACCGCAUGACGCCGCGGCGUGACAGCCGGGGCCAAAGGCGAAAGCCGCCCGCCGAGGGGCCUGCGUCCGAUUAGCUGGUUGGCGGGGUAGCGGCCCACCAAGGCGUCGAUCGGUAGCUGGUCUGAGAGGGUGAUCAGCCACACCGGGACUGAGACACGGCCCGGACUCCUACGGGAGGCAGCAGUGGGGAAUAUUGGACAAUGGGCGCAAGCCUGAUCCAGCAAUGCCGCGUGGGUGAAGAAGGUCUUCGGAUUGUAAAGCCCUUUCGGCGGGGACGAUGGUGACGGUACCCGCAGAAGAAGCCCCGGCUAACUUCGUG
rnacentral:rRNA from 1 species